GCCUUUUAACGCACUUCCCACUUAUCAUUCAACUACAAUUUUGGUGGGGGAAGGAGGAUUGUAAGGGCUUGUUGCCUUUGAACUACCCAGCUAAUUUAUUAUUUUCUCAUGUAAAUUAUUUUGUGAUACUAAAUAAAUAAAAAGUUUUCAUAACAAUAGUUAGUUAAAAAAAAAAAAAACAGGUUGUGCAUAACAUAUUAAAAUACAAGGUAGGCAAAAAGCCAUUUCUAAGCUCCUCAUAAAAUUGCGUAAACUCAGAGCCAGAAAAGACGGGACCGAACCCAAGCCAUAUUAGGUAGUCGCUGGAAUUAAACCCCUUGUGCGCCAUCUUGGGUCUCAAUUGUCAAUUGUCAAUUCUCAAUCAGACAGCAGCAGGAGUUCCUCCUGAAAUUCAUCGCUCUGCUCCUGGAGCCUCCUCCACUCUCUCUAUAUAAUAGUUGCCGUAACUAUUUUUUCCUUUCAUUAAGUCCAGCACUCUUUCCCAGUAAUACGCAAUUUUUCUUUCCUAUAACUACGUCUUCAAUUCACAUACCGGGUCAUCAUUUUAUUAGUUUCUUCAGUAUCGGCUUUUUCUUCUGGGGCUUGGGCUUUGUCAAUGGAAACAGUUUAGAAUAAUGAGUUGAUUACUUGGUUUCUUUUUGUUUAGGAUUUUGGAGGGGCAAAUUACGAGGAACCUGCCCAAGGUGGUGGAAUCUAUUUUUCUGGCGAGCCUUUUGAUUUCAUUGGUGCCUUUUUAUUUUGGGAUUGAGAAUGGAAUCAUCAGAAUUAUCUAUCUGAGAGAAAAAGCUGGUAACUUUUUCUUCUUUUUUUAAUGGUUGUUGAGGGAUUUUUACUUUGGUCAUGAUUCCCGGGUCCAGUAGAUUCGUGCUGGCAACAAAUAGGAUUCUUUUAGUAUGGGAAUUUCAAUUUAGUUACGGACUAUGUUGGUGAAGUCUCAAGUUUUGUCCUGGCAUUGGCUGUACAAACAUUAACGGAUUCCAUAUAGAGCUUUAGGUUUUUCUUUUGGUCAUGCUGAUUUUGAGAUAUUACAUUUAUAUGGGUUGAAGAAGAAGCAGAAGAAGAAAGAGGAAAAAAAGGGUGUUUGAGAAAAUGUCAUCCAGGUCAACAAACAAGAGUAACUGUUCUAGGAGCAGUUCGGCACGGUCAAAGCAAAAUGCUCGUGUGAUUGCGCAAACUACAAUCGAUGCCAAGCUACAUGUGGAUUUUGAAGAAUCCAAGAGGCUCUUUGAUUACUCCACUUCUAUCGACUUCAACAUUUCAAGUUCAACCAGUAAUGUUCCAUCUUCUACUGUGUCAGCUUACCUUCAAAAGAUGCAAAGAGGGAGUCUAAUUCAGCCCUUUGGUUGCUUAAUUGCUGUUGAUGAGCAAAACUUCACUGUUCUUGCUUAUAGUGAAAACGCUCCAGAAUUGUUGGACUUGGCGCCUCAUGCUGUUCCAAACAUAGAGCAGCAAGAGGCUCUUACUUAUGGAAGUGAUGUGAGAACACUGUUUAGUUCUCCUGGUGCAACGGCCCUGCAGAAAGCUGCUAAUUUUGGGGAAGUUAACCUUCUCAAUCCGAUAUUGGUUCAUUGUAAAACAUCAGGCAAGCCCUUUUAUGCUAUUUUGCAUAGGAUCGAAGCUGCGCUAGUUAUAGAUCUAGAGCCAGUUAACCCAGCCGAGGUGCCAGUAACAGCUGCUGGCGCAUUGAAGUCCUAUAAGCUGGCAGCCAAAGCCAUUUCAAGGUUGCAGUCAUUGCCAAGUGGGAACAUAUCUCUGUUAUGUGAUGUUUUAGUUAAGGAAGUUAGUGAUUUGACAGGUUAUGAUAGGGUAAUGGUUUAUAAAUUUCAUGAAGACGAACAUGGAGAAGUAAUUGCUGAAAGCCGUAGACCUGAUUUGGAACCUUAUCUAGGCUUGCACUACCCAGCUACCGACAUACCACAAGCCUCAAGAUUCCUUUUCAUGAAAAACAAAGUUAGAAUGAUAUGUGAUUGUUCUGCCCAACCAGUUAAGGUGAUUCAAGACAAAGGAUUAGCUCAACCAUUAAGUCUCUGUGGAUCCACGUUAAGAUCUCCUCAUGGGUGUCAUGCACAGUAUAUGGCAAGUAUGGGAUCAAUUGCAUCUCUUGUGAUGUCAGUAACUAUCAAUGAGAAUGAUGAUGAGAUGGACAGUGAGCAAGACAAGGGAAGAAAAUUAUGGGGAUUAGUGGUCUGCCACCACACUAGCCCCAGAUUUGUUCCAUUCCCACUGAGAUAUGCCUGUGAGUUUCUUAUACAAGUAUUUGGAGUGCAAAUUAACAAGGAAGUGGAGCUGGCAGCCCAAAUGAGGGAGAAGCAUAUUCUGCAAACCCAGACUGUGCUUUGUGACAUGCUGUUGAGAGAUUCCCCUGUAGGAAUUGUUACUAAAUCUCCGAAUGUUAUGGAUCUUGUUAAGUGUGAUGGGGCCGCACUUUACUACAGACAGAAAUUUUGGUUGCUUGGAGUUACCCCUACAAAGGCACAAAUUAGGGAUAUAGCAGAAUGGCUUCUUGAGUACCAUAGGAGUAGUACGGGCUUAAGUACUGAUAGCCUUAUGGAAGCUGGCUAUCCAGGUGCUUCAGUUCUUGGAGAGGCAGUUUGUGGGAUAGCUGCUGUUAAGAUCACUUCUAAAGACUUCCUGUUUUGGUUUCGGUCCCAUACAGCUAAAGAGAUUAAAUGGGGUGGUGCAAAGCAUGAUCCUGGUGGCAAGGAUGAUGGAAGAAAGAUGCAUCCAAGAUCAUCAUUCAAGGCUUUUCUGGAGGUUGUCAAGUGGCGUAGCCUGCCUUGGGAGGAUAUAGAAAUGGAUGCAAUUCAUUCCUUACAGCUGAUAUUGAAAGGAUCCUUGCAAGACGAAGUUGCUGAUGAUUCCAAAAUGAUUGUGAAUGUACCAUCCAUUGAUGACAGGAUUCAGAGGGUGGAUGAACUGCGUAUUGUCACUAAUGAAAUGGUCCGCCUGAUUGAGACUGCUGCUGUCCCAAUCUUCGCCGUUGAUUCCUCUGGUAACAUAAAUGGAUGGAACUCUAAAGCGGCAGAACUCACUGGCCUGACUAUUGAGCAAGCAAUUGGCAUGUCAUUGUUUGAUCUUGUUGAGGAUGAUUCAGUUGAUGUUGUCAAGAACAUGCUUUCAUUAGCCCUGGAAGGUAUAGAAGAACGAAGCAUUGAAAUCAAGCUUAGGACUUUUGGUUGUCAGGAAAAUAAUGGACCUAUCAUCUUGGUUGUUAAUGCAUGUUGUAGUCGAGACUUAAAGGAAAAUGUUGUUGGAAUUUGCUUUGUUGGGCAAGAUCUCACCAGCCAAAAGAUGGUCAUGAACAAAUAUACGCGUGUCCAAGGUGACUAUGUUGGUAUUAUGAGGAACCCAUCUGCUCUUAUUCCCCCAAUUUUUAUGAUUGAUGAGGUUGGCAGAUGCUUGGAGUGGAAUGAUGCAAUGCAAAAGUUGACUGGUAUGAAGAGGGAAGAAGCCAUUGAUAGAAUGCUUCUAGGGGAGGUUUUUACAGUAGACAAGUUCGGCUUUAGGGUGAAGGAUCAUGACACAUUUACCAAACUCAGGAUAUUAUUCAAUGGGAUAACUGCUGGUGAGGAUGCAGAUAAACUAUUAUUUGGGUUCUUUGAUCAGGAGGGUAAAUUUGUUGAAGUAUUACUCUCAGCAAACAGGAGGACUGAUGCUAAUGGAAGGAUCACUGGGAUUUUGUGUUUUUUGCAUGUGGCUAGCCCGGAGCUUCAGUAUGCUUUACAAGUGCAGAAGAUAUCUGAACAGGCAGCAGCUAGUAGCCUCAAUAAGUUGGCUUACAUCCGUCAAGAACUCAGGAAGCCUUUGAAGGGGAUUGUAUUAAUGCAGGGUCUGAUGGGGGCUACUGAUUUGAGUAGUGAUCAGAGGCAGCUUCUGAGGACAAGUGUAAUGUGUCAGGAACAAAUGGCCAAGAUUGUCGAUGACACAGACAUUGAAAGUAUUGAGGAGUGCUACAUGGAAAUGGACUCCGGGGAGUUUAACCUUGGAGAAGCCUUGGAAGCUGUCUUGAAACAAGUUAUGUUAAUGAGCCAAGAGCGGCAAGUUCAGGUGAUCCAAGAUUUACCUCCUGAAGUCUCAUCCAUGUACUUGUAUGGAGACAAUUUGAGGCUUCAGCAAGUCCUAUCAGAUUUUUUGACAAAUGCACUCCUCUUCACUCCUGUGUUUGAGGAAUCAUCGGUUUCAUUCAGGGUAAUUCCUAGGAAGGAACGUAUUGGGACAAAGAUACACAUUGUUUAUCUUGAAUUUCGGAUCACUCAUCCAGCACCAGGUAUCCCCGAAGAUUUAAUUCGGGAGAUGUUUCACUAUAGGCAGGGUGUCUCAAGGGAAGGUCUUGGCCUAUACAUCAGUCAGAAGCUUGUAAAGAUUAUGAAUGGUACUGUACAAUAUCUAAGAGAGGCUGAAAGGUCAUCCUUCAUUAUCUUUUUAGAAUUUCCAUUGGCUCGCCAGCUUGGCCACCAUUGAAAACCCAUAGCCAAGUGAAGCUUAUAAGCAUCGAAACAAGGCUACUGCAGCUUCCAUAUGAACCGUAUCAGUAGCUUGUCAUCUCAAGCAAACAAGCACCUUAACACCCCGGGGUGAUCAUACCGAGUCUGGAUGAUACCGGGGGCUGCUCAGCCUGUUGAAGAGCAUUGUCCAUUACAAGUAUGUAAAGCAGGCAAAAAGUUUGAUGCAGAGUCGAGGCUUUGUACCAAUGUCGCUGCUUUUGGUGUAUAAGAGGCUACUGUACAUUGAAACCUCCAGAUGAUCUAUUGACUUGAUGAGAAACCCUUUUCUAGCUAUGGGGGAGAAACAGAUUCAAAGACAUUGGUGCGUCGUGCUUGUGAAUGCAGAAGAAUUAGAUGAGUUCUCGAACAACUGCAGAAAUCUCCUUCAAGCCAUUGGUACCGCAGACAGUUCCAUAGUUUUCAGUCGUCCAAAGUUGCAGUUCCAGAAUACCCGUAGUAAGAGUUAAUAUUGGGAGGAUUGGCGACCGACUUUUGUGUUUCUAAAAUUGCUGUUCCCUCCAUUGAUAGUAUUUAUGUUGUCUUGUUUGUGUUCUUUGAUGUUUCUGUUUGUAAAUGGCGGAGGCCUGUCUGUUUGUUUGUAAGCAGCUGUAUCAUUGUGUUGGUAAAACGGCUGUAAACCUAUCGUGUUCUUUUUUGUUCAAUGAACUUAUAUACUUAAUUUACGUGAAAA